rnacentral:rRNA from 1 species
UUUUAUGGAGAGUUUGAUCCUGGCUCAGGAUGAACGCUGGCGGCGUGCCUAAUACAUGCAAGUCGAGCGAACGGACGAGAAGCUUGCUUCUCUGAUGUUAGCGGCGGACGGGUGAGUAACACGUGGAUAACCUACCUAUAAGACUGGGAUAACUUCGGGAAACCGUAGCUAAUACCGGAUAAUAUUUUGAACCGCAUGGUUCAAAAGUGAAAGACGGUCUUGCUGUCACUUAUAGAUGGAUCCGCGCUGCAUUAGCUAGUUGGUAAGGUAACGGCUUACCAAGGCAACGAUGCAUAGCCGACCUGAGAGGGUGAUCGGCCACACUGGAACUGAGACACGGUCCAGACUCCUACGGGAGGCAGCAGUAGGGAAUCUUCCGCAAUGGGCGAAAGCCUGACGGAGCAACGCCGCGUGAGUGAUGAAGGUCUUCGGAUCGUAAAACU